UACGUAGGGUGCGAGCGUUGUCCGGAUUUAUUGGGCGUAAAGAGCGUGUAGGCGGCUGGGUAGGUCCGCUGUGAAAACUCGAGGCUCAACCUCGAGCUGUCGAUGGAAACCAUCUAGCUAGAGUCCGGAAGAGGAGAGUGGAAUUCCUGGUGUAGCGGUGAAAUGCGCAGAUAUCAGGAAGAACACCCGUGGCGAAGGCGGCUCUCUGGUACGUGACUGACGCUGAGACGCGAAAGCGUGGGGAGCGAACAGG
rnacentral:rRNA from 1 species